rnacentral:rRNA from 1 species
AACGUAGGUGGCGAGCGUUAUCCGGAUUUACUGGGCGUAAAGCGUGUGCAGGUGGCCUGUUAAGUGGUGUAUGAAAUCGCCCGGCUCAACCGGGCGGGGUUAUGCCAGACUGGCAGGCUAGAGGGUGGGAGAGGGAUGUGGAAUUCCGGGUGUAGCGGUGGAAUGCGCAGAUAUCAGGAGGAACACCAAUAGCGAAGGCAGCUCGCUGGGACGGUACUGACGCUAAGGCGCGAAAGCGUGGGGAGCGAACAGG